AUUGAACGCUGGCGGCAUGCUUUACACAUGCAAGUCGAACGGUAACAGGCCGCAAGGUGCUGACGAGUGGCGAACGGGUGAGUAAUGCAUCGGAACGUGCCCAGUCGUGGGGGAUAACGCAGCGAAAGCUGUGCUAAUACCGCAUACGAUCUAUGGAUGAAAGCGGGGGACCGCAAGGCCUCGCGCGAUUGGAGCGGCCGAUGUCAGAUUAGGUAGUUGGUGGGGUAAAGGCCUACCAAGCCGACGAUCUGUAGCUGGUCUGAGAGGACGACCAGCCACACUGGGAAUGGAACACGGCCCAGACUCUUACGGGAGGCAGCAGUGGGGGAAUUUUGGACAAUGGGCGCAAGCCUGAUCCAGCAAUGCCGCGUGCAGGAAGAAGGCCUUCGGGUUGUAAACUGCUUUUGUACGGAACGAAACGGUCUGGGUUAAUACCCUGGGCUAAUGACGGUACCGUAAGAAUAAGCACCGGCUAACUACGUGCCAGCCGCCGCAGUAAGAC
rnacentral:rRNA from 1 species